UUUUCAUCAAGAGCAGCAGAGGGACUGGCCCUGUGAAGCUGCGGCAACCUCCUUUCGGGGAAAGGUGCUAAUUCCAGCGGUUUUACCGACAGAUGAAGG
rnacentral:ncRNA from 2 species